rnacentral:misc_RNA from 1 species
AGUCGUAACAAGGUUUCCGUAGGUGAACCUGCGGAAGGAUCAUUAGUGAACAUAGGACGUCCAACUUAACUUGGAGUCCGAACUCUCACUUUCUAACCCUGUGCAUUUGUUUGGGAUAGUAACUCUCGCAAGAGAGCGAACUCCUAUUCACUUAUAAACACAAAGUCUAUGAAUGUAUUUAAUUUUAUAACAAAAUAAAACUUUCAACAACGGAUCUCUUGGCUCUCGCAUCGAUGAAGAACGCAGCGAAAUGCGAUAAGUAAUGUGAAUUGCAGAAUUCAGUGAAUCAUCGAAUCUUUGAACGCACCUUGCGCUCCAUGGUAUUCCGUGGAGCAUGCCUGUUUGAGUGUCAUGAAUACUUCAACCCUCCUCUUUCUUAAUGAUUGAAGAGGUGUUUGGAUUCUGAGCGUUGCUGGCCUUACGGUCUAGCUCGUUCGUAAUGCAUUAGCAUCCGCAAUCGAACUUCGGAUUGACUUGGCGUAAUAGACUAUUCGCUGAGGAAUUCUAAUCUUCGGAUUAGAGCCGGGUUAGGUUAAAGGAAGCUUCUAAUCAGAAUGUCUACAUUUUAAGAUUAGAUCUCAAAUCAGGUAGGACUACCCGCUGAACUUAAGCAUAUCAAUAAGCGGAGGA